GGGGUGUUUGUUUCUUUAGUCCCUUCUAAAAUUUCUGUCACAUCGAAUGUUUAGAUACUAAUUAGGAGUACUAAAUAUAGACUAAUUACAAAACUAAUUGCACAGAUGGAGAUUAAUUUGCGAGAUGAAUCUAUUAAGGCUAAUUAGUUCAUGAUUUGACAAUAUGAUGCUACAGUAAACAUGUGCUAAUUAUGAACUAAUUAGGCUUAAUAGAUUCGUCUCGUGAAUUAGCCUCCAUCUAUGUAAUUAGUUUUAUAAUUAACUCAUAUUUAAUCCUCCUAAUUAGUCUCUGAAUAUUCGAUGUGAUAUAAAUU
rnacentral:lncRNA from 1 species